UCGUUUAGGCUUUAAAGGUUUGCAAACAUAAGCUUCUCUAUUUAUAUUUAUAUGUGAUUUUUACUCUUAUGAUAGUGUUAAAUAUGUUUGAUGACUAGGUGAAGCAGUUAUGAAGGUAUUCGCACUUCUUCUGUUAGUUGUUUUUAUGACUACCUCAGUGAUGGCAAUAAGAGAAAGCACUCAAGUUGUUCAUGAAGCAACCACCGAUACCGUCGAGAAACUGCAAAAUCCUACAAUUGCGCAAGACGAAGGAAUUAAAUUUACGCGAAAGGACAUGAACAUUGAAGGAAAACCAGCAGUGCACACGAGCUAUGUACCAAUAGGACAGUUUUGCGAGGAGAAAAAGUAUGAUUGGUGCCCAUCUCCUCCGUAAGUUUUAGAGGGAUCACUUGCAUGUAGUACGUAUAGGGGAAAGAAUAAAUAAAUAAAUACAAUUAUGGUGUAUAACUUAUAAGAAGAAAUAGAGAUCACCACCCUCCAUGUUGCUUUAAGAUUCAAGCCACUUGAUAGAUAUAAGAAGACACAAGUGAUAGAUAACAAUAAAUAAUGUGGCUUAUGUGGUGGCCACGUACUUCUUGUGUAUAUAUACUUUAUGUGUGGACUCUAUAUAUAAGAUCUCAUAUAUAUAAAAUUAUUAUGAACUUGAUCAGAAGUAAUGAAUGAAUUAUUUGACA
rnacentral:lncRNA from 1 species